rnacentral:rRNA from 1 species
UACGGAGGGUGCAAGCGUUAAUCGGAAUUACUGGGCGUAAAGGGUGCGUAGGUGGUUUGGUAAGUUAUCUGUGAAAUCCCUGGGCUCAACCUGGGCAGGUCAGAUAAUACUGCUGAACUCGAGUAUGGGAGAGGGUAGUGGAAUUUCCGGUGUAGCGGUGAAAUGCGUAGAGAUCGGAAGGAACACCAGUGGCGAAGGCGGCUACCUGGCCUAAUACUGACACUGAGGCACGAAAGCGUGGGGAGCAAACAGGAUUAGAAACCCCAGUAGUCC